UAGCAUAUCAAUAAGCGGAGGAAAAGAAACCAACAGGGAUUGCCCUAGUAACGGCGAGUGAAGCGGCAACAGCUCAAAUUUGAAAUCUGGCCCUCGGGUCCGAGUUGUAAUUUGUAGAGGAUGCUUUUGGUGCGGUGCCUUCCGAGUUCCCUGGAACGGGACGCCAUAGAGGGUGAGAGCCCCGUCUGGUUGGACACCAAGCCUCUGUAAAGCUCCUUCGACGAGUCGAGUAGUUUGGGAAUGCUGCUCUAAAUGGGAGGUAUAUGUCUUCUAAAGCUAAAUACCGGCCAGAGACCGAUAGCGCACAAGUAGAGUGAUCGAAAGAUGAAAAGCACUUUGAAAAGAGGGUUAAAUAGUACGUGAAAUUGUUGAAAGGGAAGCGCUUGUGACCAGACUUGAGCCCGGUUAAUCAUCCAGCCUUCUGGCUGGUGCACUUGGCCGGCUCAGGCCAGCAUCAGUUCGGCGCGGGGGAUAAAGGCUUCGGGAAUGUGGCUCCUCCGGGAGUGUUAUAGCCCGUUGUGUAAUACCCUGUACUGGACUGAGGUUCGCGCAUCUGCAAGGAUGCUGGCGUAAUGGUCAUCAGCGACCCGUCUUGAAACACGGACCAAGGAGUCGUCUUCGUAUGCGAGUGUUCGGGUGUCAAACCCCUACGCGUAAUGAAAGUGAACGCAGGUGAGAGCUUCGGCGCAUCAUCGACCGAUCCUGAUGUUCUCGGAUGGAUUUGAGUAAGAGCAUACGGGGCCGGACCCGAAAGAAGGUGAACUAUGCCUGUAUAGGGUGAAGCCAGAGGAAACUCUGGUGGAGGCUCGCAGCGGUUCUGACGUGCAAAUCGAUCGUCAAAUAUGGGCAUGGGGGGCGAAAGACUAAUCGAACCUUCUAGUAGCUGGUUUCCG
rnacentral:rRNA from 1 species